AUGUCUAAAGAGCACACUGAGCCCUGGCUUAAAGAAUACCCACACGUGAGAGAGAGAGAGAGACAAGAGUGUGCUGAGGCAACGAAUCUGAGCCAUCGAAGGAAGGUACCAUUACAGGCGUCGAGAGAAAUGUACAUCAGAGGCACUGAAGGCUGUCCCCCCUGCAAUACCAUCUUGUUUGACGCACAGUGGAUGGCGGCCAUUUUAACCCUCGGGGGGUUGUCCUUUCAUCUUUCAUCUAUACAUUUUUUCCCUCCAGAUAAUGAUUACUUUGAUACCUUGAUAUAAUGGACUGUGUGUACAGCUCGCAAACAACGCUGGAGCUAUUAUAAUGGUUAAAACCCUGAAGCAACCCAUCCAAUCCAAAGGAAGCAAAUUCAAGAGGUAAUGAAUUAUUAAACUGACCUGUAUGUUUGUUCCUUGCAUAAAGGAUAGGACACCUGAUUCUUUCAGCAAUACGUUCGUUUUGAAUGUGACAUGGGGACACGAACAAAAGGUGAAUNNNNNNNNNNCCGUUUGUCUGUUGAGGAUGCGCAGGAGAGACCGUUUGUCUGUUGAGGAUGCGCAGGAGAGACCGUUUGUCUGUCGUUCGUUUUCUGAAGUGCAAUGCGCAGUAUUGGGGACGGAAAACGUCAUUAACAUUACUUGAAGGUAAGUCCUGUAGAUCUGACAGUAGUUACCCAUCUUUAUAGGGAUGGGUUUUUAUAAAAAUGAAAAAAAAGCUCUAAUGUCUCUGUUUGCUAUAUUUGAAGCGUCUUAUUUAUUUUUCCAAGAUUGUAUUGCAUUUAUCUAAUUUUCUGUAUGUAUUAUUUAAUUUUUUUGUAUUACACAUUAUUUAUAAUGUACAUGUAUGACUAUUUAUAUGGACAUCUAGAAUUUAUGCAACAUCGUUGGACAGACUUUGACAUCAUGGCCCUUCAAUAGGUACACGGGUUUUUGGUGAAUGCUUGUUUUAAAUUAUGCCUUCAGAGGCUGGUGGUCUUAGGUUGUUGUAAAAGGAACUCCUACGUGUAAAUCUGGGAAUAUUGGGGAAUUUUUUACGUGUCUCUAUGAAAAACAAAGUUAGGCUACAUGUAGCCCUAUCAAAAUACCGAAUAUGACAGAAAUGUAUCACACUAGUAUGUCAUUUGUUGUCAUUGCCAAUUUUCAUAUCAGGUCAUUGUCAUUUCAUCAGUUGGACUGUCCAUGCAUACAUUUAUGAAACGCUAAUGAUAUGAAAUUGUUAUAUUUUAAAGUGUUUAACAUUUUGUAAAUAAAGUGCUUAAAUUUACACAGUGGGUUAAAAAGCACCGUUAUUUUCCAUACAUUUAACA
rnacentral:lncRNA from 13 species